ensembl:lncRNA
GGGAAUCCUCAAGGACCCGAGGAUCGGGCGUGGAACGUUCCGGAGUCUCGGCGCGGGGGUCGCGGGGGCCCGAGGCGGCCGCAGGGGCCUCCUGUUAUUUCUUCAGAUCCUCUCCAUCAUCCUGUGAAGUGAGUCUUAAGUAGCCCAUGUGUUGAUGCCGGCCCAGUGACCCAGACUGCUGGAGGUAGCCUGGAGACUCUAACAGGGAUCAAUUCAAAGUAACCACGGGCGAGUUCCACGUGCACUGUCCAGGAGGGAGCGAAACAGAUGGAGCCCAUGGCCUCAGGACGCUUCCAGUUUGGAAAAGGGCACCUGACCAUAAACAGUUGGGGUUUGAGAAAUCUAGCUGUCACGUGACACUGCACUUCCAAGCCCCCAGGCUCAGAUACGGUGAACAAAUGACCAGGAGAGACCCGGGUAGCCCUGCUCCAUGCCCGCAGGCUUUGGCACUGGGGGAAUGGAAGAAGAUCCAUUUGCCAACUUGGCUCUUCUUGCCAACUCUAAGCAAAACUUGGCUUCAGAAAUGAUGAAACGCAUCCCAGUGACAUGACUGCCAAGCUGGGGGACACAGCAGGGUCCCUGGAGACCCAGAGCACGUUAAAUGGGAGUAAUUUCCUGACUAACCCCUGAUUCUCCUGGAGGUGGCUCCUGGAAUAUUGCUGAGUUUCCGGUUUGGCUGCUUUGGUCUGAAAUGGCAAACAUGUGCUCCCACUUUCUUGUGCACUGUUAGAUAUGGAGGACUUGGGGUGUUGCCCAGAGCACCAUGUGGAUCUGCAGCCAUCACAGCCACCCACUGGACAUAGACCACUGGGUUUGCAUCAACAACAACAGAAUCCAGUAGCAGUGGCAGCCAGUGUUUGCCAGGGUCCCGCUGUACAACGUGGUCUCAUUUUAUCCUCCUUCAGAGAAGGCGGGGGUGUUGUCUUCACCCUCUUUAUAGAUACCCAGGCUUGGACAGGUCAAGUAAUUCGCCCAAGACCACCCUCUAUAAAACUGUAUCCACAACCACUUCUCCCAAAUUCAAGCUUCGUGAAAGGGGUUUGCUGAAUACCUACUGUGGGCAGAUCCUUUUUCUUGAGUGCAACUGGGGAUGACAUAUCUUGCCGUUUAGAAUCAUGUCCAAGCAACAGUCAUCUGUUCCAUGUGGCUACUGAGCACUUUGAAUGUGGCUUGUCCUGAGAUGUAUUGUGAGUAUCAAGAAACUUUAGUGUCAAACACACUCUGAAUUGAAAGGUAGUGCAAAUCAGAGAAUGCAAAUCAUUUCAUUAAUAUUUUGUAUCCAUCAUAUGUUGAAAUGAUAAUAUUUUACAUAUAUUGGGUUAAAUAAAAUGUAUUAUUAAAAUG